rnacentral:lncRNA from 1 species
AAAUUGUUGAGAACCUUUUUUUUUUUUGUGAGGCUAGGUGCGGCAGAGGAGUUAGGGAGGGCUCACGUCUUUUUUUGUUUUAUUUUUUGUUUUUGUUUUUUUUAAAGAUGCAUAGUUCUUUAAUUUUUUUUUGGUAGAUGAUAUAUAUGGAAUAAGGCACGUUUCUUUCUUCGUUUUUUUUUGGUAUAUAUGGAAUAAGAUACGUUGGUUUUUUUUGUUAAGAUGUUUAGUUUUUUUUUUUUUUUAGAUGGUAUGGAAUAAGAUUUUUAGAUGCGGUUCGUAAGUCGCAUGGAGUAGAUGUCCCACUUUCAACGACUUCGGAAUUUUUUUUGUCGAAGUCAAAAAAGUGGAUUUUAGUUAUAAUCCACUUCAUGGGUUCACUUUUCAAAAGUCACUUAUAUGUUUACUUUUAUAAUCCAAAUAACUGAAAUAAUCCCACUUCGUCAAAAUACCACUUUUAUUGUUUCACUUACGGGCAACCAAACAUGCCCUAAACGAAAGUUGCACUUUUUUAGAGAUAUUUACACUAUUUCUCCUGUUAAACGGUGCAGUUUACACAUCAACACAUCAAAGGAGAAAUAGUGCAACAAGAGGAGAAAUAGUACAACAAGAAAAAAAAUAAUAUAAUAUUUUCUUUUAAAAAGUACAAUAAGAGAAAAAGUAGUGUAAAUAUCUCUCAAAUAGUGUAACUUUCGUUCCAAGAAUGUAACUUUCAUUUUAAAGAUGCAGUUUACAUCUCAAAGAGUGCAAUAAGAGAAUAAAUAGUAUAAAUAUCUCUCAAAGAGUGCAACUUUCGUUUAAAGAGUAUAACUUUCAUCUUAAAUGGUGUAGUUUAUAUUUAAAAGAGUUCAACUUACGUUCAUAAUAGUGCAAUGUUCUUUUAAAAAGUGCAACUUCAUCUUGUUCUUCCUUUUUUUUCUAGUUUUCUUUAUUAUUCUCUACUUUUUUGCCAUUUAGAUUUUUUUUUUUUGUUUUAAACAAACAAAAGCGCUAAUUCAGAGAUGCUCUCUUGCAUUCCU